rnacentral:rRNA from 1 species
GUGCCAGCAGCCGCGGUAAUACGAACCGUCCAAACGUUAUUCGGAAUCACUGGGCUUAAAGGGUGCGUAGGCGGCCCGGGAAGUUGGGUGUGAAAUCCCUCGGCUCAACCGAGGAAUUGCGCCCAAAACUGCCGGGCUUGAGGGAGAUAGAGGUGAGCGGAACUUAGGGUGGAGCGGUGAAAUGCGUUGAUAUCCUAAGGAACACCGGUGGCGAAAGCGGCUCACUGGGUCUCUUCUGACGCUGAGGCACGAAAGCUAGGGUAGCGAAGAGGAUUAGAAACCCUGGUAGUCC